CUCUCCAAGCAGGUAUAUACUUACAUGUCAAUCUUCUCGUUCCUCUGCGGUUAACCGUGCGGGCGUCGUGGUUCGGGGAAGAAUCGAUGUAACAAGAUUAUGAUUGUGAUUAUGAAUCCCCUGCAAGGUUAGGGAUAAGAUCACCUGCAAGAUUGUGAUUCCCCUGCAUCAGCUACCGAAUCGGCAACAGUCAUGAUGGUUAACUCGGUCUGAAAACACUCACAGGAUUGCGAAGCCUUCAAGAUAAUCCAUUAGAGCUGUUUAUAUGAAACCUGAGUGCAAGGAUGUGCAACUCGCUCGGUCGAUGCCUGCAGCUUAGGAUAGAUUGCUCGAACCCUUGUACUAUGACCGUUUAGUUUUGUGCCGCUACACUUCCAGUAGCAGAGGCACGAAUGGUUGAUGACAAGGCCCAAAUAAGACUAACCUGGAGGUUGUGUACAGUUUCUGAAUAACAAUGUUGAAUUGGUUUCUACUACUCC
rnacentral:lncRNA from 1 species